UUAUUUAUUUAUUUAUUUAUUUUAAUUAUUUUUUUAUUUAUUUCUUCCUUCUUUAUAUUUUUAUUUAUUUUAUUUAUGUCCUUUUUUAAAUAAAAUUUCUUACAGAGGAAAAAUAUAUACGAGAGGGAUCUCGAGUUAUGCGAACAGUGGGUACACAUAUAUCCGGACGGUCGGUCCAUCGGUGAGAGUACGCGACGAUUAAAAAUACGCAACGCGCAGCACGCGCCUGAAUAGCGUGGUGCCGGCGAACGACGUAUGCGUACACGCUUGCGUAUGCGUGUGUAUGUAUACGCGUGCGAUCGUGCGUCGUGCGUGCGCGCGCGUAUGUGUGUCUCUCGUUAAAUAGACGAGUGUUCAGCGAUACGAGUAUACCGAAGACGACGAAGACGAAAACGAAGACGACGGAGUUUAGAGGAACGUUGUUUGCCUGUGAUAAGAGGACAAACCGUACUCGGCUAGUGGCGCCUGUAUCGUAACCAGUGACGGAUCGGGUGAGCUUGAGGCACGGUGCCACGCGUGCCAUCGAGCUCCAAAAAUUGAUUGCCAUCUCACUAUGUGUUGCGCUUUCGAUUCCUCGCGUAACUUCAUUGCGACGUGUGUGGUCCCCGAUUACGUGGAUAUCCACCAUAUCGGCUUCUAAUGCAUCUUAGCGAAGUGAGAUGUACAAAUGACGACGACGACGACGUCGACGUCGACGAUUAUGAACCAAUCGAUCGAAAUUGUAAUAUCGAAGGAUUGAAAUAACUUUAGCUUCGUCAAAGAUAAAAAUUACACGAAACGGGAGGAAUAAACUCUUAUAUCGUAGUUUCUGCGGUAUAGCUGCGAUCGAUGAUAGACAUAGGAAAUAAAAAAAAAAAAAGAAAAAAAAAGAAGGAAAAAAAAGGAAAAAAAAAAGAAGGAAAGAGAGAGAGAGAGAGAGAGAAACAGGAAAAUGGAACUUUUAUCCCCCUCGCUUUUGAUCUAUAAAUCGCUGUUUUGAUCUAUAGAUCGCUAUCUCUACUGAGCGACAGGUGAAUCGACGAUGCAUUCGUUGACGUCUUUCACGAAUAUCUUAUCCUCUUCUAUCCGGUAACAUGCAUAUAUUAUAUGAAGGAAGAAAAAAAGACAACAAAUAAAAAAGUAGAAGGUAAAAAAAGGAGGAAAAAAAGAAGAAGAAGAAGAAGAAGAAGAAGAAAUAAACACGAACGAUGAGAAACACGGCCAAAGCCGUAAGAUGUUUCUUAAUUUUUCUCUUUCUUUCUCCCUAGCUAUCUUGAAAAAUUAUUCCACGUGCUUUUACGCGCUUACUCUCACCGAAAGUACGUCUUAUUGUUAAUAAACAAUAUAUAUAUAUAUAUAUAAAGUGAAUGAUA